CCCAUCAGUGGGGGAUAACCCGGGGAAACUCGGGCUAAUANCGCAUACGUCCUACGGGACAAAGCAGGGGACCUUUUGGCCUUGCGCUGAUGGAUGAGCUCGCGUCGGAUUAGCUUGUUGGUGAGGUAAAGGCUCACCAAGGCGACGAUCCGUAGCUGGUCUGAGAGGAUGAUCAGCCACACCGGGACUGAGACACGGCCCGGACUCCUACGGGAGGCAGCAGUGGGGAAUCUUGGACAAUGGGGGCAACCCUGAUCCAGCCAUGCCGCGUGUGUGAAGAAGGCCUUCGGGUUGUAAAGCACUUUCAGUAGGGAGGAAGGCUUCCGGUUAAUACCCGGGAGUACUUGACGUUACCUACAGAAGAAGCACCGGCUAAUUUCGUGCCAGCAGCCGCGGUAAUACGAAAGGUGCAAGCGUUAAUCGGAAUUACUGGGCGUAAAGCGCGCGUAGGCGGUGUGUUAAGUCGGAUGUGAAAGCCCAGGGCUCAACCUUGGAAUUGCAUCCGAUACUGGCACGCUAGAGUGCAGUAGAGGGAGGUGGAAUUUCCGGUGUAGCGGUGAAAUGCGUAGAGAUCGGAAGGAACACCAGUGGCGAAGGCGGCCUCCUGGACUGACACUGA
rnacentral:rRNA from 1 species